rnacentral:rRNA from 1 species
GACGAACGCUGGCGGCGUGCUUAACACAUGCAAGUCGAACGGAAAGGCCCUGCUUGCAGGGUACUCGAGUGGCGAACGGGUGAGUAACACGUGGGUGAUCUGCCCUGCACUUCGGGAUAAGCCUGGGAAACUGGGUCUAAUACCGGAUAGGAGCCAUUUUUAGUGUGAUGGUUGGAAAGUUUUUUCGGUGUAGGAUGAGCUCGCGGCCUAUCAGCUUGUUGGUGGGGUAAUGGCCUACCAAGGCGGCGACGGGUAGCCGGCCUGAGAGGGUGGACGGCCACAGUGGGACUGAGAUACGGCCCAGACUCCUACGGGAGGCAGCAGUGGGGAAUAGUGCACAAUGGGCGCAAGCCUGAUGCAGCGACGCCGCGUGGGGGAUGACGGCCUUCGGGUUGUAAACUCCUUUCGCUAGGGACGAAGCUUUUUGUGACGGUACCUAGAUAAGAAGCACCGGCUAACUACGUG